GCCUCGGUGGCUCAGCAUGGUAGAGUGUCUGCUUGGUAAGCAGAAGGUCGUGGGUUCGAAUCCCACCCGAGGCU
rnacentral:tRNA from 2 species